rnacentral:rRNA from 1 species
CUAACACAUGCAAGUCGAGGGGUAACAGGUGGGCUUGCUCCCGCUGACGACCGGCGCACGGGUGAGUAACACGUAUGCAACCUGCCUUCAACAAGGGGAUAACCCGUUGAAAAACGGACUAAUACCCUAUAAAACAGGGGUUCCGCAUGGGACUAUUUGUUAAAGAUUUAUCGGUUGAAGAUGGGCAUGCGUUCCAUUAGCUAGUUGGCGGGGUAACGGCCCACCAAGGCAACGAUGGAUAGGGGAACUGAGAGGUUUAUCCCCCACACUGGUACUGAGACACGGACCAGACUCCUACGGGAGGCAGCAGUGAGGAAUAUUGGUCAAUGGACGCAAGUCUGAACCAGCCACGUCGCGUGAAGGAAGACGGCCCCUAUGGGUUGUAAACUUCUUUUAUACGGGAAUAAAAGUGCACCACGUGUGGUGUUUUGCAUGUACCGUAUGA